UACGUAGGGCGCAAGCGUUAUCCGGAAUUAUUGGGCGUAAAGCGCGUGUAGGCGGCUCGGUAAGUCUGCUGUGAAAGUCCAAGGCUCAACCUUGGAAAGCCGGUGGAUACUGUCGAGCUCGAGUCCGGAAGAGGCGAGUGGAAUUCCUGGUGUAGCGGUGGAAUGCGCAGAUAUCAGGAGGAACACCAAUAGCGAAGGCAGCUCGCUGGGACGGUACUGACGCUAAGGCGCGAAAGCGUGGGGAGCGAACAGG
rnacentral:rRNA from 1 species